GAUGAACGCUAGCGGCAGGCUUAAUACAUGCAAGUCGAACGGAAGUAGCAAUACUUUAGUGGCGCACGGGUGAGUAACGCGUACAUAACAUGCCUUUGACUGGGGGAUAGCCUUUGGAAACGAGGAGUAAUACCCCAUGGUAUUUAAGACUGGCAUCGGUUUUAAAUUAAAGUUACGGCGGUCAAAGAUUGAUGUGCGUUAGAUUAGGUAGUUGGUGAGGUAACGGCUCACCAAGCCGACGAUCUAUAGGGGGCGUGAGAGCGUGACCCCCCACACGGGUACUGAGACACGGACCCGACUCCUACGGGAGGCAGCAGUAGGGAAUAUUGGUCAAUGGAGGCAACUCUGAACCAGCCAUGCCGCGUGAAGGACGAAGGCGCUUUGCGUCGUAAACUUCUUUUAUAUGGGACGAAAAAGGUAGAUUCAUCUACAACUGACGGUACCAUAGGAAUAAGCACCGGCUAACUCCGUGCCAGCCGCCGC
rnacentral:rRNA from 1 species